UCCCGUUGAUCCUGCGGGAGAUUGCUGCUAUCGGAGUCCGACUCAACCAUGCAAGUCGAGGGACCUUUUCGGAGGGACCGGCGAAAUGCUUAGUAACACGUCGGUAAUCUGCCUUUGGGUCUGGGAUAACCUUGGGAAACUGAGGCUAACACCGGAUAGGGGAGAAGUUCUGGAAUGAACUCUCCUUGAAAGAUUACGCCCAAAGAUGAGCCGGCGGUCGAUUAGGUUGAUGGCGAGGUAACGGCUCACCAUGCCUUUGAUCGGUAAGGGCCUUGAGAGAGGGAGCCCUAAGAAGGGUACUGAAAUACUGACCCUAGCCCUACGGGGUGCAGCAGGUACGAAAACUCUACAAUAUACGAAAGUGUGAUAGGGGGACUCCGAGUGCUUAUACAUUGUAUAGGCUUUUGUUAAGAGUAAAUAUCUUAGCGAAUAAGUGGUGGGAAAGACUGGUGCCAGCAGCCGCGGUAACACCAGCGCCACGAGUGGGAAUCAGUUUUACUGGGCCUAAAGCGUCCGUAGCCGGCUGAUUAAAUCUUUUGUGAAAUCGUUGCGCUUAACGUAACGGCGUGCAGGAGACACUGAUCAGCUAGGGACCGGGAGGAGUAAGAAGUAUUCCGGGGGGAGCGGUAAAAUGCGAUAAUCCUCGGAAGACUACCUGUGGCGAAGGCGUCUUACUAGAACGGAUCCGACGGUGAGGGACGAAAGCCAGGGGAGCGAAUCGGAUUAGAUACCCGAGUAGUCCUGGCCGUAAACGCUGUGAGCAAGGUGUUGUACAAUCUCCAUGGUUGUGCAGUAUCGAAACGAAGGUGUUAAGCUCACCGCCUGGGAAGUACGGUCGCAAGACUGAAACUUAAAGGAAUUGGCGGGGAAGCACUACAAGGGGUGCGGCGUGCGGUUCAAUCUAACUCCACACAGAGAAUCUCACCAGCGGCGACGGCAGGAUGAAAGUCAGUCUAAAGGGCUUACUUGACGAGCCGAGAGGUGGUGCAUGGCCGCCGUCAGCUCGUGCCGCAAGGUGUCCUCCUAAGUGAGGCAACGAGCGAGACCUGCAUCCAUAAUUGCUAACGUGACUACGGUUGAAUGAGCACAUUAUGGAGACUGCGUUCGUAAGAACGAGGAGGGUGCAGGCUACGGUAGGUCUGUAUGCCCCGAAUCCGCUGGGCUACACGCGCGCAACAACGACCGGGACAACGGGCUGCGACUCCGAAAGGAGGAGCCAAUCCUUUAAACCCGGCCUAAGUUCAGAUUGAGGUUUGUAACUCAGCCUCAUGACGCUGGAAUCCCUAGUAAUCGUGAGUUAUCAGCUCGCGGUGAAUAUGUCCCUGCUUCUUGCACACACCGCCCGUCAAACCAUCCGAGCAGGGUUUAGAUGAGCCCUGAUUUUUUGAUCAGAUCGAAUCUAAGCUCAGUGAGGCGGGUUAAGUCGUCACAAGGUA
rnacentral:rRNA from 1 species